rnacentral:lncRNA from 1 species
GAAUUGCUACAAACACCUCGCCUCGCCUCGUAGGCUGUGAUGGUUAAUACUGUCGACUUGAUAGGUUAACCAACAGAAGCUCAGAGACUUGACUCUUUCGGUGAUUAAAUCCUGAGGUGGGAAGACACACUCUGAAUGUGCACCGUACCAUUCCAUGGACUGCAUCCUGUGAGCCCAAAUUAACCUUCCUUCCUCGAGUUACUCAGAUAUGGUCCCAGAUACUGUUUAAACCACAGCUGCUGCUCCGCGUGGGAUUAUGGUCGCUUGCAUUGAGUGGAUGAAUAUCUCAGGCACAGAGAGGUGAAACAAUUUAUCCAAGAUCCCAGCAGAUGCCAGGCUGGGCUCUGUACCCUGGUGGCCUGGCUGCAGAGCUGGGUUCCUAUUGGCCCCAUGGGUUGGCUCUCAACAAACCAAUAGCAAACAAGGAUUGUGGGCACCACAGAGCUUCUAGGCAGAGGUCAGAAGCCAAUGAGUUACAAUCCUGGGGACAGGGCUCAGCCACCAGAGGCCAUGGGUGGUCAGCAGGGCCUGGAAGGCAGGAGAUCGUCCUUCUGCAUAAAAUGCCUGCAGGGAGCUUCCUGCUGUCUGCACUCUUCCUGUUGCUAAAAGGACCACUGGCUCCCACCUGUGAAGUCAAAGACCUUGCUUGAAGAGAGACCCUUGGGACACAGUUCAGUCUUUCUUUGUUACAAUGUAACAUAAAAUCAGUGCAAUCCACUGUUGCUUCCUUACACUGACAGCAAAUGGUAUGGUGUGUGGUAUUCUCUGUAACACCAUUUACAUUAGACGUCACCUGCUGUCUAGGUGAAUAGUAUCAGUGCCUGACAUUAGAAUGUCAUAUGUGACUGCAUACUAGACAGUGGAUGCUGUCACUUGUAGCACAUGUAACAUUCGUAUAUCCAGUCUAUUCAGUUACCCUUAGAAACAGGAAACAUGGGUUCCAAGACUCCCGGGGGGUCACCAGAGUCUGCAGAUGUCCUAGUCCCACGAAAACUGAACAAGUUGGGCUGGAGAGAUGGCUCAGUGGGUAAGAGUUCUGGCUGUUCCUCUAGAGGACCUGAGUCAAUUUCCAGCACCCACACAGUUGCUUCCAACCCUCUGUAACUCCAGUCCCAGGCAAACCCCAUGCCUUCUUCUGGCCUUGGUGGGUACCAUACACACAGGCAAAAGACUCAUACACAUAAAAAAUAAUAGAUAAAUAAAUAAAAUAAAAACU